UACGUAGGGUGCAAGCGUUGUCCGGAUUUAUUGGGCGUAAAGAGCUCGUAGGCGGUCUGUCGCGUCUGCUGUGAAAACUCAGGGCUUAACCCUGAGCUUGCAGUGGGUACGGGCAGACUAGAGUGCGGUAGGGGAGACUGGAAUUCCUGGUGUAGCGGUGAAAUGCGCAGAUAUCAGGAGGAACACCGGUGGCGAAGGCGGGUCUCUGGGCCGAAACUGACGCUGAGGAGCGAAAGCGUGGGGAGCAAACAGG
rnacentral:rRNA from 1 species